rnacentral:rRNA from 1 species
AUUGAACGCUGGCGGCAUGCUUUACACAUGCAAGUCGAACGGUAACAGCACUUCGGUGGCUGACGAGUGGCGAACGGGUGGGUAAUACAUCGGAACGUGCCUAGCAGUGGGGGAUAACUACUCGAAAGAGUAGCUAAUACCGCAUGAGAUCUAAGGAUGAAAGCAGGGGACCUUCGGGCCUUGCGCUACUAGAGCGGCUGAUGGCGGAUUAGGUUGUUGGUGGGAUAAACGCUUACCAAGCCGACGAUCUGUAGCUGGUCUGAGAGGACGACCAGCCACACUGGGACUGGAACGCGGCCCAUGCUCCUGCGGGAGGCAGCAGUGGGGUAUGUUGGACAAUAGGCGGAAACCUGAUCCAGCAAUGCCACGUGCAAGGUAGAGGCCUUCGGGUUGUAAACUGCUUUUGUACGGAACGAAAAGCCCUCUUCUAAUACGAGGGGGUCAUGACGGUACCGGAAGAAUAAGCACCGGCUAACUACGUG